rnacentral:rRNA from 1 species
UCUGGUGCCAGCAGCCGCGGUAAUUCCAGCUCCAAUAGCGUAUAUUAAAGUUGUUGCAGUUAAAAAGCUCGUAGUUGAAUUUCGGGAUCAGUUCGUUGGUCGUGCCUCUGGUAUGUACUGGUGUUACUGGUUCCUCCCUUCUGAAGAACCGUCAUGUCAUUAAUUUGGUGUGGCGGGGAAUCAGGACUGUUACUUUGAAAAAAUUA